CCUACGGGCUGCACCAGUGGGGAAUAUUGCACAAUGGGCGCAAGCCUGAUGCAGCCAUGCCGCGUGUAUGAAGAAGGCCUUCGGGUUGUAAAGUACUUUCAGCGGGGAGGAAGGGAGUAAAGUUAAUACCUUUGCUCAUUGACGUUACCCGCAGAAGAAGCACCGGCUAACUCCGUGCCAGCAGCCGCGGUAAUACGGAGGGUGCAAGCGUUAAUCGGAAUUACUGGGCGUAAAGCGCACGCAGGCGGUCUGUCAAGUCGGAUGUGAAAUCCCCGGGCUCAACCUGGGAACUGCAUUCGAAACUGGCAGGCUAGAGUCUUGUAGAGGGGGGUAGAAUUCCAGGCGUAGCGGUGAAAUGCGUAGAGAUCUGGAGGAAUACCGGUGGCGAAGGCGGCUUACUGGUCUGCAACUGACGCUGAGGCGCGAAAGCGUGGGGAGCAAACAGGAUUGGAUACCCGUGUAGUC
rnacentral:rRNA from 1 species